rnacentral:piRNA from 1 species
UGGUUCCUCCAAGUUAAUUCACAGAGGG